rnacentral:rRNA from 1 species
UAGCCGCAACGAGCGCAACCCCUGUGCUCUAGUUGCCAGCGCGUGCAUGGCGGGGACUCUAGAGAGACUGCCGGUGCCAAACCGGAGGAAGGUGGGGAUGACGUCAAGUCAUCAUGGUCCUUACGUCUAGGGCUACACACGUGCUACAAUGGCGGGGACAGAGGGCUGCGAGCCGGCAACGGCAAGCCAAUCCCGUAAACCCCGCCUCAGUUCGGAUUGUCGUCCGCAACCCGACGGCAUGAAGCUGGAAUCGCUAAUAAUCGUGGAUCAGCUACGCCACGGUGAAUACGUACCGGGCCUUGUACACACCGCCCGUCACGCCAUGGAAGCUGUGAGCGCCCGAAGUCCGUGUCGCAACCAGCAAAGGGGCAAGCGGCCGAAGGCGAGCGCAGUGACUGUGGCGAAGUCGUAUCAACGUAGCCGUACGGGAACCUGCGGCUGGAUCACCUCCUUAACGGAUCACGAGUAGCGCANNCCGGGUCACGCCGGGCGUACAUGACAGCAUCACGUAGUCGGUUCGCGUUCGACACAUNGCUGUGCCAUUCCCACUCGUCGANUCGGAUCGGACGCCCCUUUUGGGCGUCCACCGCCCCCAUUGGCAUGGGGGUUUCAGUUUCCGCCCUGGGAUCUUUGGGACCGAAAACCCGUGGAAUUUGCUUAUUUGGGCUACCGAAGUUCAGUUCGGGGAAAUUCGAACCGAAAGUCCGGUAGGCAGNAGAACUGNACNUUUUUUCGACACGGAUAAAACGUU